GAUGAACGCUGGCUACAGGCUUAACACAUGCAAGUCGUGGGGAAACGGCAUUACGUGCUUGCGCAUUCUGGACGUCGACCGGCGCACGGGUGAGUAUCGCGUAUCCAACCUGCCCCUUACUUGGGGAUACCCCGUUGAAAGACGGCCUAAUACCCGAUGUGUUUCAUUGACGGCAUCCGAUAUGAAACAAAGGUUUUCCGGUAAGGGAUGGGGAUGCGUCUGAUUAGCUUGUUGGCGGGGCAACGGCCCACCAAGGCGACGAUCAGUAGGGGUUUGAGAGGAAGGUCCCCCACAUUGGAACUGAGACACGGUCCAAACUCCUACGGGAGGCAGCAGUGAGGAAUAUUGGCCAAUGGACGUAAGUCUGAACCAGCCAAGUAGCGUGCAGGAUGACGGCCCUAUGGGUUGUAAACUGCUUUUAUGUGGAAAUAAAGUGGCGCACGUGUGCGCCAUUGCAUGUACCUCAUGAAUAAGGACCGGCUAAUUCCGUGCCAGCAGCCGCGGUAAUACGGAAGGUCCGGGCGUUAUCCGGAUUUAUUGGGUUUAAAGGGAGUGUAGGCGGUCUGUUAAGCGUGUUGUGAAAUUUAGGUGCUCAACAUUUAACUUGCAGCGCGAACUGUCAGACUUGAGUACACGCAGCGCAGGCGGAAUUCAUGGUGUAGCGGUGAAAUGCUUAGAUAUCAUGAGGAACUCCGAUCGCGAAGGCAGCCUGCGGGAGUGUUACUGACGCUUAAGCUCGAAGGUGCGGGUAUCGAACAGGAUUAGAUACCCUGGUAGUCCGCACUGUAAACGAUGGAUGCCCGCCGUUGGCGCCCUGCGCCUGCGGCCAAGCGAAAGCAUUAAGCAUCCCACCUGGGGAGUACGCCGGCAACGGUGAAACUCAAAGGAAUUGACGGGGGUCCGCACAAGCGGAGGAACAUGUGGUUUAAUUCGAUGAUACGCGAGGAACCUUACCCGGGCUUGAAUUGCAGUCGCUGCCCACAGAGACGU
rnacentral:rRNA from 1 species